AGUUCUUUGCAGUGGCAGUAUCAUAGCUAAUGAGGUUAAUCCAAGGUGUGAUUAUUGCUAGUUGAAAACUUUCCCUCUUUCUUUAACUAAAUAAUUUGUAACACACCUAUUGUCACAAAAGUAACUUAGCAUAAGACAAUAGUUU